GCCUUGAUCCAUGGCUGGUUUCUCUUCUCUUAGGAUUAAGGGAGUAUGCUGACUUCAGAUCAAGGGCAGGACCCUCUGUCUCGCUCACAUUCAUUCAAAAGGACUUGAAAACUCAGAUGAGGCAUGGUAAUACUAAGGUGGGAAGUGGAGAUUGGUUCUGGGGUUACUGGCAGGACAUGAAAUGGAGAGGAGAUUUGAUCCACCAGUGAAAUACUACUGCUGUUGCCAAAAGAAGCAGACAGAAACUAUAAAUCAAGGAGUAAAAGAAAAUCUGAGGAAUCCCAAGGGAACAAAGCUGCUUGGAAUGUUUCCACAGGGAAGAAAAACAGGACAACUCCAGACUGCCCUCCUAAACGUCAGAAAAAUCUGAAGACGUGGAUGUGGGACCAAGCCUUUGGUUAAUUUAUCAGUGCAAUAUGUGAAUGUGGAAUGGUGCAAUGAUAACUGGAAUGGCCUGGACUAUAAUAUUGGAUUAUGUGAUUUUUAAUCAUUUUAAUGUGGAAAUGUUAUUAGCGUCUUGUGUGCACCGCUCUGAGUCUCCUUUGGGGUGAGAAGGGCGGGAUAUAAAUAUGGCAAAUAAAUAAAUGAGGCAAGUGAUUCAAACAAUAUUGGUGUAUGCAGAUCACACUAUUGGGAACACUAGCAGUGUGCACUGUUAGAGGAUUCCUAACAGUAGGCUGUUAGGAAUUGUGGGAACUGAAGUCCGAAACACCUGGAAGGCUGCCCAUGCCUAGGAUAGAGUGUCAACUUGCCAUUUGGAAAAUGGAACCCCUUCAACAUUAGACAAUUUGUUAACCAUGUUAAUGACUUUUUAGUAGCUUGAAAAUAUAAUAGAAGUUCCAAUAUUAUUACAGUAUGCAACUAAAACUUAUGUUGAAUUAAUAUUUUAAUUAAAAAUAAUAAAAUAAUAAUAGUUGCAGAUGGGCACCUUUUGUCUCCUGGCAACCAAUAUUUUUAGAACCAGGCCACCACUGAACAAAGCAUGCAAGUAGAAUUGGGAAAUAACAUUGGGUAUGUGCACAAGAUGGGAAGCUCCACUCAAAUCUCACCUCAAUUAUAAAUCUGCCACAACAUUUCAUUAAGUGACAAUUUUUCAUUGGUGUGCUUUGUGUUCACAACCACCUCUUUUCACCUGCCUCCGUCUGUUCUUGCAACCUCGCUGCUACCCACAUGUAGAUGCUCCUGCUUGAAUGCAUAACACACCUCCACCAUCAAGUCUUGUGUUCCUCCUGCUCACUAACCAGGGACUAUUCCUACCUGGCAAGAAUGUUGAACUCUUACCAUUAGUUGCUCAGUUGAUCUCUUUUUCUAAUUCUUGCUGCUUGCCUCUGCUAGCUGUCUGCCUUGCCAAUCUGUCAGUGUUGCCAUUCUGACCUAUCUUUUGCACCUUUUAUGGGUAACAAAGGCCAUCUUAUAUCAUUUAUAAAUGUUGCAGUAGACAAGUCACAGAAUAGUCCACCCCUUUACCAGACAGUAUACUUACAGUGAAUCUGUCUAGUCCUGUUGCUCCUGCAUUCCCAACAAAUAUUCCUGAGCUGGAUUCAAAGAGCAAGGCAUGAGGCGAUCUCUGGAAACUGACCCUGUGAUAUUCCUCACAGUCUAUGAACAAGACAAUGUCAUUGUCCUCUACAGCCAUAGUAAAGCGAUUCCAUUUGUUGGUCAUCACUGGGACUUUAAAGGAUGCAGCUUCUCGGGAUAUGUGAGAACCUGGUUCAGUGUAGUACAUAAUGAUUCUCUGUGUGUUAUCAUCCACAGGCGAUAGUCUGAUGCCCAAGUAUAUUGUCUUCUGAAAGGCAUCAGUUAUGGCAAACAAUACCCCUCCAUGGUCACUAUUUGGUUUGACGGUAACAGUGAUUGCAAAAUCCUUGUAGAAUGGCUGAGGUAUCAAAGUUCUUGUCAGGCGGCCUAUGUUUGCUUCUGGUCCAAAAUUGUAAGCUGGAAAUCCUCCAUAUCCAGUGAUAAA